GGCUGGUUAGCUCAGUCAGUUGAGCGUGGCGCUAAAACCGCCAAGGUCACGGGUUUGAUUCCCGUUCAGUCC
rnacentral:tRNA from 1 species